UACGGAGGGGGCUAGCGUUGUUCGGAAUUACUGGGCGUAAAGCGCACGUAGGCGGCUUUGUAAGUUAGAGGUGAAAGCCCGGGGCUCAACUCCGGAACUGCCUUUAAGACUGCAUCGCUAGAAUUGUGGAGAGGUAAGUGGAAUUCCGAGUGUAGAGGUGAAAUUCGUAGAUAUUCGCAAGAACACCAGUGGCGAAGGCGGCUCACUGGCCCGAUACUGACGCUGAGGCACGAAAGCGUGGGGAGCAAACAGG
rnacentral:rRNA from 1 species